rnacentral:rRNA from 1 species
UACGGAGGGUGCAAACGUUGCUCGGAAUCAUUGGGCGUAAAGCGCACGUAGGCGGCUCGUUAAGUCGGGUGUGAAAGCCCUCGGCUCAACCGAGGAAGUGCAUUCGAAACUGGCGAGCUUGAAUAUGGAAGAGGGUCGCGGAAUUCCCGGUGUAGAGGUGAAAUUCGUAGAUAUUCGGAAGAACACCAGUGGCGAAGGCGGCUCACUGGCCCG